GCCUUAUAAUUCUCCAGAGGCCUGGUAAUGAAGUAAUCAUUUGAUUCAGGUGUGUUGACCCAUGGUGUUAUCUAAAACCUGCAGGACACCGGCCCUUGAGUUCGACUCCCCAGGUUAAAGGGGUUAUAUGUCACUGUACUGAUAUACAGUUGACUUGUUGGUUCCCUUUAACUUCAUAUUUACCAAUUCUGCAAUAUAAGAGAGCAGCAGGGCCUCAGCUGCUGUUCGUUCCAAACCUCAGGGAUCAACUUUGAGUCCAUCAGCACACACCUGGAUGCAAAGGACGGUCCUCUACACUGCACUGGGAUUCGAACUGGCAGCUUUACUUGGCUUUGCAGUUUUACUGGUUAAUCGCUUCUGUGCCUUAAGAUGUCGUACUCGUCUGAGAAGAUACCAAAAUUUCAUUUAAAUGUUUAACAGGAGCUUUGUGGUGUCGUUUUGCACCAAGAGAAACUAAAAGCAGGACUUGGAGGGAGCCAUCAGGCAGAAAACUUGAGGUUCAAGAAUCCAAGACUGUGUAAUGUAUGUUUGAAGUAUCAGAAAGCCUCAUUGUGAUAUGAAGUGCAUAUUAUGUGCUCAUGUAUCACUGCAGAAAGGAUGAUGGGGUAGGUUAUGCUCCCAUGUGUGUCCUGUUUAUUAUUUCUAAGCUGGACGCUCAUCCUGCCACCAAAUGGGAACUUUAAAAAAAAACAAAAGCAAACUUUUGCUCUCUUCAGUUUGUACGGCCUUUAAUCCACCAGAGGAUUUAGCCUAUAAAUGUGCCGUUUUCCUAUCAGCUGUAUUCAGUGGUUAAACUUUAACAAGUGCCUGGACUCAACAAGACCAAAGAAGGAAAUGUGCUGUUAUUUAAUCCUGACAGUAGGGACUGGACUUUGUUACGGCAGAUAAGACACUUCAUUUGCUUCCUGUUUCCUCAACGUGUAUGUGUUCCUUUAAGGAGCACACUGUCACGACCCUUGUUUUUACAAACAGCAAUAAACUUUAUUAAUAACAGAGUUUACAAGAUUUGCAAUAACAAACAUGCAGUGAGAAAAUAGUCCUUUCUUUAUGCAUAUACAAGAGUUAGGCUUUGUUAUUAGACUUUGAUACAUGCAUAUUCCAUAAACAAGGGUCUCAGGUGAGCAGAUGGUUCAGUGUUUCAUUGCUUAUGGUUUUAAAAAUACUUUAGAAGCAGAAAUAAAAAAGUGUAAAAUUCUGCUGCAGGUUUCUGUUCCUAAAAUGUAACUUAUGGUUUCAACAAACUCAAACUAAAGCUGUGGCAGCAGCCUGCUGCUGCUGCUUU